UCCAGACUCCUACGGGAGGCAGCAGUGGGGAAUAUUGGGCAAUGGGCGCAAGCCUGACCCAGCAACGCCGCGUGAAGGAAGAAGGCUUUCGGGUUGUAAACUUCUUUUCUCAGGGACGAAGAAAGUGACGGUACCUGAAGAAUAAGCUCCGGCUAACUACGUGCCAGCAGCCGCGGUAAUACGUAGGGAGCAAGCGUUGUUCGGAAUGACUGGGCGUAAAGGGUGCGUAGGCGGUUGUACAAGUUAGAAGUGAAAUACCCGGGGCUUAACUCGGGUGCUGCUUCUAAAACUGUAUGACUUGGGGGCAGUAGAGGGUAGUGGAAUUCCUAGUGUAGCGGUGGAAUGCGUAGAUAUUAGGAGGAACACCAGAGGCGAAGGGGGCUAACUGGACUGCAACUGACGCUGAGGCACGAAAGUGUGGGGAGCAAACAGGAUUAGAUACCCGAGUACA
rnacentral:rRNA from 1 species